rnacentral:tRNA from 1 species
GAGGGUAUACCUCAGCGGUAGAGUGUGUGCUUAGCAUGCAUGAGGUCCUGGGUUUAAUUCCCAAUACUUACA